UACGGAGGGUGCGAGCGUUGUUCGGAAUCACUGGGCGUAAAGGGCGUGUAGGCGGUCCGCUAAGUCUGAUGUGAAAGCCCGGGGCUCACCCCCGGAAGGGCAUUGGAAACUGGCAGACUCGAGUCCCGGAGAGGAGGGUGGAAUUCCCGGUGUAGCGGUGAAAUGCGUAGAGAUCGGGAGGAAGGCCGGUGGCGAAGGCGGCGCUCUGGAACAUUUCUGACGCUGAGGCUCGAAAGCGUGGGGAGCAAACAGG
rnacentral:rRNA from 1 species